AUCUCAAUCCGGGCAAUUGCCUUUCGAAAAGGAAGGAGGAAAGUCCGAACUUCACAGAACAGGGUGCCGGGUAAUUCCCGGGUGUUGUUAAGGUAACUUGGCAGCAACUGAAAGUGCCACAGAAAAAAUACCGCCCCGGUUUUCGGGGUAAGGGUGAAAAGGCGGGGUAAAAGCCCACCGCAUCAAUGGAAACAUUGAUGGUCCCUGUAGGGAUUCCGGAUUUCCGGAACAAGGUAAACCACUCCCGAAGCAAGGUCAAAUAAGGUUGCCAAUCUGUUUAAUCACAGAGGAAAGUUGUUCGCUUUCUUAUGGCUUCCGGGUAGACUGCUGGAUCCUGUUAGCAAUAGCAGGGCUAGACAAAUAAUUGCCGGCCCGUUUAAUCGGGCUUACAGAAUUCGGCUUAUAAGAUUGAGAUUCAU
rnacentral:RNase_P_RNA from 1 species